UUCACAGUGCAGUUUACCUUCAACAGGGAUACAAGAUACUUGCAGUGUUUAAUCUUCAGUGUCAGGUUUUCUCUAACAGGAACUCCCAAUGAAUUACGGUUUUCUAAGUGAAUACUAAUGACGAAGAAGGGAUCGUCAUCAUCUAAUAUGUCCCAGUGGCUUCCGGCUGUCCUGGUGGCUCAGCUGCCCAGAAGCUGUGAUGGAGGGUGUGGUCUGCAGGGCAGAAGACCUGGGUCCAGGAGUUCUUAGCUGGUGACAAGAUCAGAAAGUGGCUGCUGGAGCUCCAACCUUCACAUCUGACCACUCCCCAACUUCAAGGAGAUUUCCAGAAGCUCUCAGACACUACUCCUGCUUACACAUCUUCAUCUCCAACUUACCUGCUGACCUGCAGCAGAGUCUGGACAAUGCAUCCAUGGUUCAGGUGACUGGGACUUCCCCGGCAGUCCAGUGGCUAAGAUUGUACUCC